AUGCUCUCUUUUCAACAGCACAUAUACUAAAACUGGAAUGAUACAGAGAAGAUUAGCAUGGCCUCUGCACAAGGAUGACACACAAAUUCAUGAAGCGUUCCAUAUUUUU
rnacentral:snRNA from 1 species